rnacentral:rRNA from 1 species
UACGGAGGGGGCUAGCGUUGUUCGGAAUUAUUGGGCGUAAAGCGCGCGCAGGCGGUUUCUUAAGUCUGAUGUGAAAGCCCACGGCUUAACCGUGGAAGGUCAUUGGAAACUGGGAGACUUGAGUGCAGAAGAGAAGAGCGGAAUUCCACGUGUAGCGGUGAAAUGCGUAGAGAUGUGGAGGAACACCAGUGGCGAAGGCGGCUCGCUGGGCCGGACCUGACGCUGAGACGCGAAGGCGUGGGGAGCGAACGGG